AACGAACGCUGGCGGCAGGCCUAACACAUGCAAGUCGAGCGAGGGAGCAAUCCCUAGCGGCGGACGGGUGAGUAACGCGUGGGAACGUGCCCUUUGCUACGGAAUAGCCCCGGGAAACUGGGAGUAAUACCGUAUGUGCCCGAGAGGGGAAAGAUUUAUCGGCAAAGGAUCGGCCCGCGUUGGAUUAGGUAGUUGGUGGGGUAAUGGCCUACCAAGCCGACGAUCCACAGCUGGUUUGAGAGGAUGAUCAGCCACACUGGGACUGAGACACGGCCCAGACUCCUACGGGAGGCAGCAGUGGGGAAUCUUAGACAAUGGGCGCAAGCCUGAUCUAGCCAUGCCGCGUGAGCGAUGAAGGCCUUAGGGUUGUAAAGCUCUUUCGUGGGGGAAGAUAAUGACGGUACCCCAAGAAGAAGCCCCGGCUAACUCCGUGCCAGCCGCCGCCGUAA
rnacentral:rRNA from 1 species